rnacentral:tRNA from 1 species
UCCCGGGUGGCUCAGAUGUAAAGGAUCUGCCUGCAAUGCAGGAGACCCGGGUUCAGUCCUUGGCUCAGGAA